GGGUCAGUAGGUUGGUCGUGCCACCGGUACGUACUGGUCUCACUGAUUCCUCCUUCCUGAAGAACCGUAAUGCCAUUAAUUUGGUGUUGCGGGGUCACAGGACUGUUACUUUGAAAAAAUUAGAGUGUUUAAAGCAAGCUAACGCUUGAAUACAUUAGCAUGGAAUAAUGAAAUAGGACGAUCGAUCCUAUUUUGUUGGUUUCUAGGAUUGACGUA
rnacentral:rRNA from 1 species